UUCCACAGGCAGCAAGUGCUCUCCUUCUGUUUUUCAUGCAUGUGGGAGUCUCCAGCAUUUACAUUAGAUUGAAACUUGAGUGUAUUAACAUCAUACAAAGCCUGAGGAUGCAUUAGGUCUGGCUUUGCAUUUCACUAAAUAUGACGUUGGGAAAUGCUGUUAAGACCACAAAAGAAGAAACAUGACCUUCACAACAAUAAAACAGUAUCAUACAUGCUGGUCAAAUACACUGAGCACUAGCAAGGGCUGAAAAUAUUGUUUUAAGCUAAGAGAUGUAAUUGCAAGAGUAACAGCCGUGGUGGCAGCAUCUGGAUCCUUGAUUGACAGCAUUAUGGAAAGUUACUGGCCAGAUACUCCUUACUUAAGUUGGCACCAAUCAACUUGCCUGGGGAUCAGUCAAAUGGGGUGAGGUGAGGGGGACUUCAGGAGAUCCUUCCCAGAUGGAUGCCAAAUUCCUUUGAUAGCCCUGUCAUUGUCAAGAAUUUCUUCAAGUUUAUGUGUAUAAGAAUAAAAUCUUGUUCAAGUUUAUGAUGA
ensembl:lncRNA novel transcript